GAGAGAAGAACCAAAUUGGGUGCGAAGCCUUAAGUGAAUAUUAAAGUGAAUAGCACAGUUAGUUAUUUCUUUCAGUCAAGUGAUGCAUUCAUUGCAUUGUGAAUAGUUUUUUUCUGUAGGUUGGCAUCGAUUCCUGUUGCUUCUGGGCAACACCGUUUUCAGUACUUCAAACUACGUUGAUGUUAUCUUUGCAGCAUGGGAGAACUUUUCAUAUAGUUAUUUUGGAACCGUGACACUAAUACCUGCAGAAACUUUGCACAGCUUUUUGGAAUUGUUAUUCUGGCAUAAAAUUUCAUCCCAUCAUCUGAGAGUUACGAUUCAAGGUGACAAAAUAAUUGUUUUAUUGUGUUGACUAUAAAAGCAAUAGGUGGUGAUCUCACUAUAUAUGAGCGAACUUCUUUGAUGAACUACAUGAUGAAUGAAACAAUACAGGUGCUGGUAUACUAUCCAUGGCAAACUGCGGGCUAAACACAAAUGGAGCUAAGUUUUUUUAUAACACUUUGUUAUUGAGAACUUGUGUGUGAUUGUAAGAAAUAGUAAUUAGUGUAUAAUUAAAAAUUUAUUAUAGCCCCAACACAAUAGCUUCAUGGCAUGCACUCCAUAUUUAGAAAGAAUUACUAUGGCAUGUCUGUUGUGAAACGGAUUGGGUUUGUUGUAACCGAUAAAGAUGACAGGCCAACUGAUGAAGUGAAAAUUGUGAAAUGUAUAAUCAAAUAUGAAUGUAGAUUUCACUACUAAAUUUUUAAUUUUUUGCUAUGGGCUACAAUGUAAUUAUCUAUAUGGUGGAUAUUAUGUUGAUGGUUGUAUAUCUAUUAAUGAAAUAGUUCUCAGUUAUACGUAUUUGAUUUUGUAUUUAUUACUUAUACAAUUUAAACUAAUGAAUUAUUUAUUAUGUUUUACCUUUCUUGUUUUGGACAAAUUAUAAACAAUCUCAGAAAACACUUGUGUUUGCAACCCUAGAUUCUGUUAACUCAUCAUAGCUAAUUGAGUAGCCACCAA